AUUGAACGCUGGCGGCAGGCCUAACACAUGCAAGUCGAGCGGAUGAAGGGAGCUUGCUCCUGGAUUCAGCGGCGGACGGGUGAGUAAUGCCUAGGAAUCUGCCUGGUAGUGGGGGAUAACGUCCGGAAACGGGCGCUAAUACCGCAUACGUCCUGAGGGAGAAAGUGGGGGAUCUUCGGACCUCACGCUAUCAGAUGAGCCUAGGUCGGAUUAGCUAGUUGGUGGGGUAAAGGCCUACCAAGGCGACGAUCCGUAACUGGUCUGAGAGGAUGAUCAGUCACACUGGAACUGAAACACGGUCCAGACUCCUACGGGAGGCAGCAGUGGGGAAUAUUGGACAAUGGGCGAAAGCCUGAUCCAGCCAUGCCGCGUGUGUGAAGAAGGUCUUCGGAUUGUAAAGCACUUUAAGUUGGGAGGAAGGGCAGUAAGUUAAUACCUUGCUGUUUUGACGGUACCAACAGAAUAAGCACCGGCUAACUUCGUG
rnacentral:rRNA from 1 species